AGUGUCAAUCCAACCGCACAUACAACUAAUGCAUGAAUGAACUAUCCACCACAGGCUAAGAACAAUGUCUCCAAACGGAACUGGGCCAUUUGAAGUUAGAUGAAAGAUGGUCUGCAUCAUUGCGUUUAUGAUAAUGUGGAAAAACACCAAUUGUUUUGAGGGAAUUUACUCAUAAAGAAAAGAGAGCUGGAGACUCAGAGAGGCAGGAAAAGAACAGACCAGGGAAUCACAGAUCCAUAUCAGAUAAUAAAAUUGAAUCGAAAAUUUAAA